GAGAAUUUGGAUAAAAUCUUGCUUAUUUCAUUCAUUCCUUACAUGUCAAUAUAUAGAAUAGUUUUAGGAUAGCAAACGCGGAAAUAACGGAAUACAAAAUAAGGAAGAUCUAGAGAAUAUUGCUGCAAGAUUUAGGUGAGCCACUGAUAAGGCCGCCACCUCAUUUUCCUCCUUAACUGAAUUUUGUUGAUUUAUCAUGUGAUGAAAUCUUCUAGAUACUUUGGCAUGUGGACUUCUCUCUUGGGCCUUCCCAUUGCAACAUCAUGGGCCACUUCCACUGUGUUUUCUUCAGCCCAUUUGCUAUCA
rnacentral:lncRNA from 1 species